rnacentral:lncRNA from 1 species
GUGAGGCUCUUCCUUUGGAAGCUUGCCUAUGAUCGCCUUCCAACGUGCUCUCUUCUCAGUAGGAGGGGCAUGGACAUUCCGACUUCUUGUCCGAUGUGCGGACUCGAGGAGGAGUCGACCAAGCACGCCAUCCUGCACUGCCUGUGGGCGAGGCUGGUUUCGAGAUGGCUAGUAUCUACCACUGAGAGGUGAGAAGUGACCCGUGGAUGGAGUUCUUUCUGCGCAUGAUUCGUCAGAGUAUGUCUGAGGGGGGGCAUUCCUUCGAUGGUCCGAUGAUUUAUAUAGCUUAUCAGACUGGAUCUCUAGAAACUACCUUAUUUUUAAGAAUGAGGUGGUUUCUACAUGCAGGGUGCUUGAGAGAGCCUAGUGCC